rnacentral:rRNA from 1 species
GACGAACGCUGGCGGUGUGCUUCACACAUGCAAGUCGAGCGAACGAAGAUUGAAGCUUGCUUCGGUCCUAGUUAGCGGCGGACGGGUGAGUAACACGUAGGAAUCUGCCUUAAGGCGGGGACAACGGAACGAAAGUUGCGCUAAUACCCCAUACGCGAUUAGUUUUCGGAUUAAUCGUAAAAGGAGCAAUCCACCUUUUGAUGAGCCUGCGUCUGAUUAGCUAGUUGGUAGGGUAAAGGCCUACCAAGGCUACGAUCGGUAGUUGGUCUGAGAGGAUGAUCAGCCACAAUGGAACUGAGACACGGUCCAU